rnacentral:rRNA from 1 species
CACCGCCCGUCACAUCACGAAAGUGGGCUGUACUAGAAGUGGCCGCGCUAACCAGCAAUGGGGGCAGGUUACCACGGUAUGGUCCAUGAUUGGGGUG